AGGCAUAAUUCCUGUUGAAUAUUUUGGUUUAACAAUUGAUUGCUCUGAGUGUAUUUAAGAGGACCAUGGACCUAUAAUUAGUAUCGAUAUAUCAGGUUCCAUUGCUUUUCUUUAGGAAAAAUUAAUUGAGACAUGAAGCUAAUGUAUAGUUAUUUAAAUAGAGAUUUGUACCUGCUUAUCCACUUAUACUUGUUAUUUGACUGAAUGAAAUUUGUUAGGUAUCUAUUGAUUGCGUUUGGUGGACUUGCUCGGUUGGAAGAGAGCAUUGAAGAGGAUCAUAACUUAAAGGCAAAGAAUGUGCGGGAGGUGUUUGACAUAUAGCAUGAGAGCUUGAAGGAACAGCAUGAGCUUCUCCAGAAAGUAGUGAAGCCUUUGACGGGUCAUUUAGAGAUCUUAGUACCCAAUGGUGGCCUUAACACUCACCGUUCUUCAGAAAAUGAUGCAAAAAAUGAAGAUGCUGAUAUUGAGGGGCUCAUCAAAGCAGUUGCAGAUCAGGUCGCCAAGUAGUUGUCAGUGGAACAGCAGUUGGAAUGAUAUCUAGGAAUAAUUUUAUAUAAGCUUUUGAUUCAAGUGUACACAGCUAGGAAUGAUUUCUUGUUUGGUACAUUAUCUAGUUACUUGAAUGUAUGGAUGUUUGAAAAAUGGUAAUGGAAUGAUAUGAAUUAGAGGAUUGUUUUUGUGGUAAUUACUACCUAAUUUGAUUACAAUAUUCACACCACAGCUAACCAAAUAGAGUAGUUGUGUGAACUAACAACCAACAACAAAAGAAAACAAAGUUCUGUUGUGUGAGAUUCAUAACACACAACAGAAAUGAAA